rfam:Cavia porcellus supercont2_31 genomic scaffold, whole genome shotgun sequence.
AUCCUCAGGUUCAUAAGCACGGUGAUUAGGAGUUCAUGCUGCAUGCAUUACAUGCGCCUCCUUCAAACCUUUUUACAACAUCAGCAAUUACCCAUUUGACU